rnacentral:Y_RNA from 1 species
GCAGCGAAUGCCGACGGAACUACACCCUGUCACGGUCGCGAUGCGGGUUCGAAUCCCGCCGGUCUUGCUUCGGCAGGGCCGUGGUGCAACUGGUAGCACACGAAAAAACGUUUCGUCAUUUUUGUCGCUGCGCC